rnacentral:misc_RNA from 1 species
AAAAUAGGAAAAUAUGUGAAAACGACGAAAUUCCCUUUUUUAGAAGGUUCCAAGCGAGUUUAUCCUAAUUGUUCCUUUAUCACAACAUGUGGAAAUCGUGAAAAUUUGCUAAUUUCCAAUCAAAUUAAUCACAUGAAAACGAACAUUAUAAUCAACUUUAUUUUCGUUUAAUUGAUCACGAUGUUAUAAUCAAAUCACAGGAAAGAGAAGAAUCCUAUUAUAUUUAGUUGACGUUCUAUAAUUUUACAAGCAUGAUGAAAGCGAUGUCAACUAUACUUGAUGUCUUUCUUCAGAUACUCUUCUUGCCUAUAUUUUUCAUCUAGCUCUGAAUCAUCAAGUACUACUAUUUUGCAUGUUCUGAAAAUCAAGUGUAUGAUGCCGGUGUUUUUCCUGACUUCAAGAAGCUGCAUUCAUGAAAGAUGUAUUCCACUCGGAGUGCGAUAACAAAUUUGUCGCUUUCAAUCAGGUAUCAAGAAAACAAGGAGAUAUUAAUUUUAAGUAAUGAAAAAUGAUAUAUGGAAAUAUUAUAUAUGUUUUUAUUAUGUUUAUGAAUAAUAAAUGUUUCUUAUUGUUUUAAUUUUAUUUAAGAGUUCAAAAUAUAGUGUACACACUCCGCCUCACAGCAACAAAAUGUAGCCUUGUAACGGCUACUUUCUAUUAUUUAUUUGUAAACCUUGGUAUCCAAGAUGUGUUCUAAAGAGCACAUCUUAAAUCCCUCGGUCACGGAACCAAAAUGUAACUAAACCGCCGCUCACCUUACUUAUUUACUUACUUGACUAACCAACAGUAUGGAUAACCUCCCUUUAAGUAUACCCCGUAAAUUUGGCCUUCAUCAUCGUCUAGUGCGAGUAUGUAGAACCCUUCAAUGUGAACCGCGAUAACCCAGAUCCUUUAAUGAGUAACGACUAUAUUUUGAACUCUAGUUAUUUUUUAGUUUGUAAAUAUAAAUAACCUGUUAUUAGAGCAUAAUAUAAAUUAAAACGUUACAGAAAUAGGAAGUUAUAAUAAGAAUAAUGAUGUAAUGUAAAUAUUUUGAUUUUUGAACUAGUUUAUUGCAGCACUUAGAAAAUGAAUAUUUAAAAUAUUUUUGUAAUCAUCCGCUACGCCUUAUUAGUGGUCCCGGCUUGGGCAAGGGCUUGCGAUGCGGUAUGGGACCCCUGACCUGA